AUUGGUCGAUAGGUUGAUAUGCAAACUGUAUCUGCUUUACGGUAAAGUGUGCGAUCCAAAGUAUUCUGUCGAAAAGGGAACAUAUUUUUUAUUCUGCUGUGAAUUUGCAGCUUACAGAAACUGAAGAUGAUUGAGGUGGUUUGCAACGAUCGCCUGGGCAAAAAAGUCCGGGUUAAAUGCAACUCUGAAGAUACGAUUGGAGAUCUGACUAGAAGCUCAUUGCCGCCCAGACAGGAACACGAUUUUGACAAAAUUUUUUAACAG